ACAACAGAAUGCUGCUCAUUUUCUACUGUCUACAAAUGAUAAAACUAUAAAAUUAUGGAAAAUAAGUGAACGGGAUAAAAGAGCAGAAGGUUAUAACCUGAAAGAUGAAGAUGGAAGACUUCGAGAUCCAUUUAGAAUCACAGCACUACGGGUAUUCGUUGCCUUUUCUUUGUCCAAUGCUGUUCAGAAAUUAAACGUUUAAGUCUGCUGUUUGGAGAGUACUGCUCGGUGGAAUACUGUGAGGUCUGCCUCAUGAUUCAUGAAAGUCAUUUGCACUCGUGUCCCAAUAUUGAAGCCCAUGGAUCUUAUGGUAGAAGCGAGUCCACGGCGAAUUUUUGCAAAUGCUCACACAUAUCAUAUAAAUUCCAUUUCAGUAAAUAGUGAUCAUGAAACAUAUCUUUCUGCAGAUGACCUGAGAAUUAAUUUAUGGCACUUAGAAAUCACAGAUAGAAGCUUUAACAUCGUGGACAUCAAGCCUGCUAACAUGGAGGAGCUGACCGAAGUGAUCACCGCAGCCGAAUUCCACCCGCACCAGUGCAACGUGUUCGUCUACAGCAGUAGCAAAGGGACCAUCCGACUGUGUGACAUGCGCUCCUCGGCCCUGUGCGACAGACACUCCAAGUUUUUUGAAGAGCCUGAAGAUCCCAGCAGUAGGUCCUUCUUCUCAGAAAUAAUUUCAUCCAUAUCCGAUGUAAAAUUCAGUCAUAGUGGGCGGUACAUGAUGACCAGAGACUACCUGUCGGUGAAGGUGUGGGACCUCAAUAUGGAGAGCAGGCCGGUGGAGACCCACCAGGUCCACGAGUACCUGCGCAGCAAGCUCUGCUCUCUCUAUGAGAAUGACUGCAUCUUUGACAAGUUUGAGUGUUGCUGGAACGGUUCGGAUAGCGCCAUCAUGACUGGGUCCUACAACAACUUCUUCAGAAUGUUUGAUAGAGACACGCGGAGGGAUGUGACCCUGGAGGCCUCGAGAGAGAGCAGCAAACCGCGCGCCAGCCUCAAACCCCGGAAGGUGUGUACAGGGGGUAAGCGGAAGAAAGACGAGAUCAGUGUGGACAGUCUGGACUUCAACAAGAAGAUCCUGCACACGGCCUGGCACCCCGCGGACAAUGUCAUUGCCGUGGCUGCCACCAAUAACUUGUACAUAUUCCAGGACAAAAUCAACUAGAGAUGCGAACGUGAGGACCAAGUCUUGUCUUGCAUAGUUAAGCCGGUCAUUUUUCUGUCAGAGAAAAGGCAUCAUUGUCCGCUCCAUUAAGAACAGUGACGCACCUGCUACUUUCCUUCACAGACCCAGGAGAAAGCCGCCUCCGCUGGAGGCCCGGUGUGGUUCCGCCCUCGGCGAGGCGCGAGACAGGCGCUGCUGCUCACGUGGAGAUGCUCUUGAAGCAGAGUUGACGGACACUGCUCCCAAAAGGCCAUUACUCAGAAUAAAUGUAUUUAUUUCA
rnacentral:sRNA from 1 species